UACGUAGGUCCCGAGCGUUGUCCGGAUUUAUUGGGCGUAAAGCGAGCGCAGGUGGUUUAUUAAGUCUGGUGUAAAAGGCAGUGGCUCAACUAUUGCAUGCAUUGGAAACUGGUAGACUUGAGUGCAGGAGAGGAGAGUGGAAUUCCAUGUGUAGCGGUGAAAUGCGUAGAUAUAUGGAGGAACACCGGUGGCGAAAGCGGCUCUCUGGCCUGUAACUGACACUGAGGCUCGAAAGCGUGAGGAGCAAACAGG
rnacentral:rRNA from 1 species